AUGGAUAAAUUUAUUCGUAUGUGGAUCGCCAUCAACUCGUACUCGUGUUUACUUCUCAAGUAAGUAUAUGUCUGUGUAGUAGUGAGUGCUUGCUUGGACAUACUACAUAACAAACUGAAUAAUUGGGGAGCAAAGAAUUUACUUUCGAGAGGGCUUUUAUUUAUGGUGACGAUGAUGAUGAUGAUGAUAAUGAUAAUGCUGAUGAUGUUGAUGAUGCUGCUGUGGUGUCUAAGUAACAUUUAAACAUCAUUAAAUGUGUCUGAACACACAUCGUAAAUAUUAUCAUUAAAAACGCGCAGCAAACGAUUGUAGCUACUCCCCUCUCUGCCCAGUAGAAGACAGUCAGAAAAUGAUGGGUUCAAGUGAUGGCAGCAAAGUGGUAUUGAAAUCAAAAUAAUUUAAAUUUAUGAAAUGUAGAGAAAGAUAUCAAAAACUAAAGCGAACUAAUAUGAAUGACAGUUCAUGCAUUUUUUGAAA